CAACAACGGAUCUCUUGGCUCUGGCAUCGAUGAAGAACGCAGCGAAAUGCGAUAAGUAAUGUGAAUUGCAGAAUUCAGUGAAUCAUCGAAUCUUUGAACGCACAUUGCGCCCGCCAGUAUUCUGGCGGGCAUGCCUGUUCGAGCGUCAUUU
rnacentral:rRNA from 5 species